rnacentral:ncRNA from 2 species
AUAAGGAGGGGUCCGUGCCGUACCCGUAAGCUGCUCACGCCCCGCGGGGGAAGUCCGGUCGAAUUCCGGCGCUGACCCGCAACGGUAGGCGGAGCCGUCCUGAUGGCUCCGCGAGCCCGAUUACCCGCGGCGGUGAAAGCUCCUGU